UACGUAGGGUGCGAGCGUUAAUCGGAAUUACUGGGCGUAAAGCGUGCGCAGGCGGUGAGCUGUGUCCGAUGUGAAAGCCCCGGGCUUAACCUGGGAAUGGCAUUGGAAACUGGCUCGCUGGAGUGUGGCAGAGGGGGGUGGAAUUCCGCGUGUAGCAGUGAAAUGCGUAGAUAUCAGGAGGAAUACCGAUGGCGAAGGCAGGUCUCUGGGCUGACACUGACGCUCAUGCACGAAAGCGUGGGGAGCAAACAGG
rnacentral:rRNA from 1 species